ACAAGUAAAAAGGCUUCUGACCGACUAGAAGAUACCCUGAUCCUAGUGCCAUCGGUUUUUUUAAUAAUUUCAAUACUUUUUAUCGAGUAUUAAAAAAAUAAACAAGUAAGAACCGUCAUUAAAACAACAAGCUUUGAACUUACGUUGUCUACGCAACGCGUACAGACUACCAAUAUAAUUAAAAAUAAAAACGACAAAAAAACACAGGUUCGCCACCUGGCUCGACCCUAGGACCUGGCAUCUAUAAGCGCCGCUUCUGCCAAUUCAAUUCAUUCGUAAUUUCGAAAAGAACGCACGCAUUUGAGUGGUAUAAAAAGACAAUUUGGAGUCCUCGAAAAGUCUACGUUGAGAAAUGGCAUUCAAAGAGGUACAGCGGCAGCAACAAAAAAUCGCGCAGAACGACCAAUAUCGAAUCGAAAUAUAUAGUGUUUUGUACAAAUUUUGCUAUAUUUUUCAUACUAUUGGUACUAGAAACUUAAAAUACACAAAUACCAGAAUACCUAAGGUAUACAACAAAACGUAUGCAGAGAUCAGCACGUCAGCACGAAACUCUUGACAUUAUUAAGCCCAUGGCAGAAGUGAAACAUACGCCUCAUGGGGAAAAGCGGGACAUACCGCAUACAAUAAUUUCAAACGAUAUAAGGGUAGUAAACACAUUACCAUGCUUUGGAUAAAUAGGUGAAUAAACUCAACAUCUCAACUUUGAGUUGACAACACAGCUAUAUUUGA